UACGUAGGGGGCAAGCGUUGUCCGGAAUUAUUGGGCGUAAAGAGCGUGUAGGCGGUCCGGUAAGUCGGCUGUGAAAGUCCAGGGCUCAACCCUGGGAUGCCGGUCGAUACUGCCGGACUAGAGUUCGGAAGAGGCGAGUGGAAUCCCCGGUGUAGCGGUGGAAUGCGCAGAUAUCAGGAAGAACACCAACGGCGAAGGCAGCUCGCUGGGACGGUACUGACGCUGAGACGCGAAAGCGUGGGGAGCGAACAGG
rnacentral:rRNA from 1 species